UCGGUUACAUUGUAUCGGGUGACACGAUCGGGUGCGAUCAUACUCGGCGGCGACGACGAGGCGCAUCUUGUACUCGCGGGCCGCACACGAGACGCAGUUAUCUCUCGUUGAACGAGAAGCGAGCAGGAAACGGCGGGGACUUUAGAGGACUCGGACGUGUGUUGCCGUGGGAAGACCGCGGACCUUGGAAGCUACGAAAUAAUCGAUGUUGCCAACAGAAGACUGCCUCGCGCUUUUGUCAGCCAGGGUAAUCGAGGUCGCAAUUAACACUUUGACGGCUUCGAGCUGUUGUCCAUCGUCGUUACAUAUGUGUCGUGAAAAUUAAAGAAGAUCCGCAGAAUCCAAAGAAAUAUGAAAUUAGUCGAUCGAGAUGGAAAUUGCAGUUCAUACACGCAGGACGUGAAGCCCGGAAGAAAUCCUGGACUUUUCUUGAAAUGUUCGAGCAACUCUGUAUCGUGAGAGGAGAAGAAAAGGGAGACGAGGGGGGCAAGAGGAGGGAAAGAGCGGAGAAAAGCGCUGCUACAGGCGUCAGGAUGAAGAUAUGACACUAUUUUCUCGUGAGACGCAUUCCAGAGCGGAAUUCUCUAUCCUUCGAUGGCUAUUUCCUGUGUUUGAAGCAAUGCGUGCCCAAAGCCCCUUAUCAUUCUCCUGUCCGGUGUAGAAUUGUUAGACGACUGGACGGAGAACUGAUAAGGGCCCGAGGGUCACCGAAUCAUCGUGGGACUACUACUGGGUACAUCACAUCAUUUGCUAACCGGCAAAAGCAUAUGGAAAGAACAGCAUCAAACUAUCAAACUAAUAUUUAUCGAUGAAUAUUUAAUAAUAAGUAUAU